CCCUAGUAACGGCGAGUGAAGCGGCAACAGCUCAAAUUUGAAAUCUGGCGCAAGCCCGAGUUGUAAUUUGUAGAGGAUGCUUCUAGGUAGCGACCGGUCUAAGUUCCUUGGAACAGGACGUCAUAGAGGGUGAGAAUCCCGUAUGUGACCGGCCCGCACCUUCUACGUAGCUCCUUCGAAGAGUCGAGUUGUUUGGGAAUGCAGCUCUAAAUGGGAGGUAAAUUUCUUCUAAAGCUAAAUACCGGCCAGAGACCGAUAGCGCACAAGUAGAGUGAUCGAAAGAUGAAAAGCACUUUGGAAAGAGAGUUAAAAAGCACGUGAAAUUGUUGAAAGGGAAGCGCUUACAACCAGACUUCUGGGCGGUGUUCCGCCGGUCUUCUGACCGGUCUACUCGCCGUCCCGAGGCCAACAUCAUCUGGGACCGCUGGAUAAGACCUCAGGAAUGUAGCUCCCCUCGGGGAGUGUUAUAGCCUGUGGUGAUGCAGCGCGUCUCGGGUGAGGUCCGCGCUUCGGCAAGGAUGUUGGCGUAAUGGUUGUCAGCGGCCCGUCUUGAAACACGGACCAAGGAGUCUAACAUCUAUGCGAGUGUUCGGGUGUCAAACCCCUACGCGUAAUGAAAGUGAACGGAGGUGGGAAGGGUAACCUGCACCAUCGACCGAUCCUGAUGUCCUCGGAUGGAUUUGAGUAAGAGCAUAGCUGUUGGGACCCGAAAGAUGGUGAACUAUGCCUGAAUAGGGUGAAGCCAGAGGAAACUCUGGUGGAGGCUCGCAGCGGUUCUGACGUGCAAAUCGAUCGUCAAAUUUGGGUAUAGGGGCGAAAGACUAAUCGAACCAU
rnacentral:rRNA from 1 species